rnacentral:rRNA from 1 species
UACGUAGGGGGCAAGCGUUGUCCGGAAUUAUUGGGCGUAAAGAGCUCGUAGGCGGUCUGUCGCGUCGGCUGUGAAAUCCCGAGGCUCAACCUCGGGUCUGCAGUCGAUACAGGCAAACUAGAGUAUUGCAGGGGAGACUGGAAUUCCCGGUGUAGCGGUGAAAUGCGCAGAUAUCGGGAGGAACACCCGUAGCGAAGGCGGCACUCUGGGCCGGAACUGACGCUGAGGAGCGAAAGCGUGGGGAGCAAACAGG